rnacentral:sRNA from 1 species
GCUGGGCAUGGUGGCCAAUGCCUGUAAUCCCAGUGACUCAGUCUGGGAGGCGGAGGCAGGAGGAUACAGUUUAGGAAGACCCUGUCUCAA